rnacentral:ncRNA from 1 species
UUAUGGUUUAUAAAUUUUAUUUUAAGUUUAUUUUACAUAUAAAUUUUAGUGUUGUAUAUUGAUUAUUUUAAUAAUAUUUUAAUUGUAAGUGUAGUAAUUAAUUUUAAAAAUUUAAGAAAUUAAGAUUUAGUAAUAUUUAAAUUAAUAACUAAUUUUGUGCCAGCAGUUGCGGUUAUACAAAAAUUAAUUUAAAAUUCUUUAGUUAUUAAUAAUUAAAUUAAUAUAAAUAAUUUAAAUAAAAAAUUAUUAGGUGAAAUUUUAAUUUUAGAAAAGUUAUUUUUUAAUUAUGAUUUAAUAGAUUUUAUAAAAAACUAGGAUUAGAUACCCUAUUAUUAAAAAUUAAAUUUAUAAUACUAAAAUAGUAGAUAUUUAUUGAAACUUAAAUAAUUUGGCGGUAUUUUAGUUUAUUUAGAGGAAUCUGUUUAUUAAUUGAUAAUCCACGAAUAAAUUUACUUAAUUUAAAAUUUUGUAUAUCGUUGUUAAAAAAAUAUUUUUUUAUAAUAAUAAUAUUUUGAAAUUUGAAUUAUAAAAUUAAAUCAGAUCAAGAUGCAGAUUAUAAUUAAGAAUAUAAUGGAUUACAAUAAAUUUAUUUAAUUUGGAGUUUAAUAUGAAAAGAUUAAAUGAAAUUGGAUUUAAAUGUAAUUUUAUAAAAUUUUAUAAAAUGAUUAUUAAUUAAAAUAUGUACAUAUUGCCCGUCGCUUUCAUUUAUAAAUUGGAAUAAGUCGUAACAAAGUAGAGGUACUGGAAAGUGUUUCUAGAAAGAA